rnacentral:rRNA from 1 species
UACGUAGGGUGCAAGCGUUGUCCGGAUUUAUUGGGCGUAAAGAGCGUGUAGGCGGCCAGGUAGGUCUGCUGUGAAAACUCGAGGCUUAACCUCGAGCUGUCGGCGGAAACCAUCUGGCUAGAGUCCGGAAGAGGAGAAUGGAAUUCCCGGUGUAGCGGUGAAAUGCGCAGAUAUCGGGAAGAACACCCGUGGCGAAGGCGGUUCUCUGGGACGGUACUGACGCUGAGACGCGAAAGCGUGGGGAGCGAACAGG